rnacentral:piRNA from 1 species
UUGGAACCAGGGAGGUGCUUGGUUCAUGGU